rnacentral:rRNA from 1 species
ACUCAGUGUAAUAGACUAUUCGCUGAGGACGCUUCCCUUGGGAAGUGGCCGAGUUUUGUAAAGUAGAAGCUUCUAACCUAUUAGUCAACUUUAGAUUAGACCUCAGAUCAGGCAGGAUUACCCGCUGAACUUAAGCAUAUCAAUAAGCGGAGGAAAAGAAACUAACAAGGAUUCCCCUAGUAACGGCGAGUGAAGCGGGAAAAGCUCAAAUUUGUAAUCUGGCACUUUCAGUGUCCGAGUUGUAAUCUCGAGAAGUGUUUUCCGCGCCGGACUGCAUACAAGUCUGUUGGAAUACAGCGUCAUAGUGGUGAGAACCCCGUAACUGAUGCAGAUGCCCGGUGCUUUGUGAUACACUUUCGAAGAGUCGAGUUGUUUGGGAAUGCAGCUCAAAUUGGGUGGUAAAUUCCAUCUAAAGCUAAAUAUUGGCGAGAGACCGAUAGCGAACAAGUACCGUGAGGGAAAGAUGAAAAGCACUUUGGAAAGAGAGUUAACAGUACGUGAAAUUGUUGGAAGGGAAACGAUUGAAGUCAGACUUGCUAUUUGGAGUUCAGCCGCAAGGUGUAUUCUUCAAUUUGCAGGCCAGCAUCAGUUUUCGGGGGUGGAAAAUCGUGAGUUGAAGGUAGCAGCCUAGCUGUGUUAUAGCUUCUUACUGGAUUCACCUUUGGGGACUGAGGAACGCAGUGUGCUUUUAGCAAUACCUUCGGGUAUUUCACACUUAGGAUGCUGGUGGAAUGGCUUUAAACGACCCGUCUUGAAACACGGA